GUCUACGGCCAUACCACCCUGAACGCGCCCGAUCUCGUCUGAUCUCGGAAGCUAAGCAGGGUCGGGCCUGGUUAGUACUUGGAUGGGAGACCAUGUGUUGAAACCCCAGUACUACCUGUCGUCC
rnacentral:rRNA from 1 species